UACGUAGGGUGCAAGCGUUGUCCGGAAUUAUUGGGCGUAAAGAGCUCGUAGGCGGUUUGUCGCGUCCGCUGUGAAAAUCCAGGGCUUAACCCUGGACCUGCAGUGGGUACGGGCAGACUAGAGUUCGGUAGGGGAGACUGGAAUUCCUGGUGUAGCGGUGAAAUGCGCAGAUAUCAGGAGGAACACCGGUGGCGAAGGCGGGUCUCUGGGCCGAUACUGACGCUGAGGUGCGAGAGCGUGGGGAGCGAACCGG
rnacentral:rRNA from 1 species